rnacentral:rRNA from 1 species
UACGAAGGGGGUUAGCGUUGCUCGGAAUCACUGGGCGUAAAGGGUGCGUAGGCGGGUCUUUAAGUCAGGGGUGAAAUCCUGGAGCUCAACUCCAGAACUGCCUUUGAUACUGAAGAUCUUGAGUUCGGGAGAGGUGAGUGGAACUGCGAGUGUAGAGGUGAAAUUCGUAGAUAUUCGCAAGAACACCAGUGGCGAAGGCGGCUCACUGGCCCGAUACUGACGCUGAGGCACGAAAGCGUGGGGAGCAAACAGG